rnacentral:siRNA from 1 species
GUUGUUCAGUGCAAAGUUUUUUGC